GGGGUUGAAGAAGUCGGAGGGCAGGCGGUUCUCAUAGAGCGAGUGGGAGAUGGAGAUGAGGGAGAAGGACUCCACGGGCGUCAGGGACACCGUCUCGGCCUCAUUGCCACUGACGUGGGGGGAGUCAGCCUUGUCCUGCAGGUGGUCCAGGGCUGACGGGUUGUCCACGAUUUCGUGGCGCAGGGGGAAGGCUUCCUGGGGAAGGCUAUACUCCUGCUCUUCUGCGUGUGGGUUCUCGUGGUCCAUCAUAUAC
rnacentral:lncRNA from 1 species